UACGUAGGUGGCAAGCGUUAUCCGGAAUUACUGGGCGUAAAGCGCACGCAGGCGGCUUAGCAAGUUCGACGUGAAAGCUCCCGGCUUAACUGGGAGAGGUCGUUGAAGACUGCUAGGCUUGAGGCAAGGAGAGGGGUGUAGAAUUCCCGGUGUAGUGGUGGAAUGCGUAGAUAUCGGGAGGAAUACCAGUGGCGAAAGCGGCACCCUAGCCUUAGCCUGACGCUCAGGUGCGAAAGCGUGGGGAGCGAACGGG
rnacentral:rRNA from 1 species